rnacentral:rRNA from 1 species
GAUCAUGGCUCAGGAUGAACGCUGGCGGCGUGCCUAACACAUGCAAGUCGAACGAAGCACUGGAAACGGAGAUUCGUCGAAGUUUCUUGACUUAGUGGCGGACGGGUGAGUAAUGUAUGAGCAACCUGCCUUUCAGAGGGGGACAACAGUUGGAAACGACUGCUAAUACCGCAUAAUGUAUUUGGGUGGCAUCACCUGGAUACCAAAGGAGCAAUCCGCUGAAAGAUGGGCUCAUAUCUGAUUAGCUAGUUGGCGGGGUAACGGCCCACCAAGGCGACGAUCAGUAGCCGGACUGAGAGGUUGAACGGCCACAUUGGGACUGAGAUACGGCCCAGACUCCUACGGGAGGCAGCAGUGGGGAAUAUUGGGCAAUGGGCGAAAGCCUGAACCCCAGCAACGCCGCGUGAAGGAAGAAGGUCUUCGGAUUGUAAACUUCUUUUAUGAGGGACGAAGGACGUGACGGUACCUCAUGAAUAAGCCACGGCUAACUACGUGCCAGCAGCCGC